UGGCAGCAGAGUUCGAGGGCUGCUUUUAGGAAAGGUGCUUUGCGGACUCUGGGAUGGUGGCUUUUGGCAUUUGCUUUUACCAGAAAAUAUUGAGGGGUUAAGGGGAGGAGGAGUGCGGAAAGGAAGCAACGCUGCCCCCAUAUCGCUGAGGCUUUGUCAGGGGCUGCGUGGGUGAGAGCUUUCUGCUCGCCUCAGCGGCCUUAAUUCAAAUACCAUCUGGAAGAACCCCCCCCCCUUUUUUUUAAACCACUCAACACUGAAAUCUUCCCCAAAUCUAUUACUUUAACUCAGGAGAUAUUUUAAUACAGAUUUCUGUUUAAUAUCUAGAAAAUGGAGGUUGAGACUGAUAUUUUUUUUCUCUGAAAGUCAAAAUGAACAUCUUGACUGGCAAGAUAAGGGAAAUCAUAUUGGAAUCUCACUUUAAAAAUCUGCCCUGAGGGAAGGUGGACGCCUCCAAACCAGUUCUUCCUCAGCUAAAGGGCAGAUUUUAGAAACUACAAAUAGUGGUAUCCCUGAAAGAUUUUUUUUCCUCUCUGGAUGGGUAGCUUUCUCUCUCUCUGCCUUCUCUUUCUCCCCUCCCCCUACUGCCCAGGUAAUUUUACACACUCCUCUAAAAUUAUUACUUAACAGAAGCCUCCCUUGUCUGCUCAGCCUACUGUGUUCAUAUCUGAACAAGCAAAAGGGUGGAAGCUCCAGUCCUCACUGGAGAAAACACUGGUUUUCCAACUCUGCAUUUCUGGGUUGCGCCAUAUUUCAGCAGGGAUGUUGGAGUGGGGUAGAGAGCAAAAUCUACUUCUUCUACAUCCUAAACUCUUUUGAAAAGGAAAAAAAAAAAAAGUAGCAGGAGCUCCAGGACAGAUUUAGGGGAAGCACCUCUAGCAGUGAAACACCCAGCUCUUUACAGCUGCCUGACUUUGCAUCUUCCCAGUCUUUUUCUUUUCUUUCUUUCUUUUUUUUUUUUUUUUUUGAGACUUCAGGAGGUUCCCUAAAAGCAGCUCCUCCAGGCCCAGUAGGUACCCCUAAAAUGGCUCGAUUGCCUGUUUUGAAAGCUCAUCUUCCGGAGUUUCUCAGGGGAAAGAUAGUGGCCAUGAUGAUGUAUAUUUUGGAUUGCAAACAAAAUGGCGACAUUUCCCAUCUCUGCCUCUGAAAGAUACAAUCCGGGGAGAUGGGGGAUACAUUUCCCACAUCAGAUGCUCCUGAUACCCAGACACAGGUGGUUCCUCACUUUCUGCUUUGGAGGGGGGGAGUUGCUGAUGGGGAUGCAGUUCCGAGGUUUGCACUUUCUGAUUUUGGUUUCUUCUCUGAGCAAUUCUUUAAUCUGAACAUGAAAAUAUUUCCCUUUCCUGUGCCUGCCUUUGCCUCUGCCAGCCAGUCAGUAGGCAGCCCUCUCUUAAAUCCAGCAGUAGAAAUAUAAUGUUUGGCUCCUGUAGCAUCAAAUAAAAGAAGUACUUGUAAAACUGCAUUUUUAUUAGAAAGAUACCAAUCUCCUCUCCCCCUCCCCCUGGGCCAUAAAAGGAAAGCAGGGAGGGAAGAAGGAGAGGAAAUAAAUCCAGAGAACGCCAAAUCCUAUAUUCCGGGAAGAAGCCAAUGCUAGGACUCAGUCUAUGGAAGGACUUGAGCAGGCUCCUCGGAGUUCAGCCGUUCUUUUGCUGGAGUCGUGGGUCUCUUCGGAACCGCCCCACUCCCAGGGGCGAUUUUAGCUGUGAUUCCUGUGGUACCUCUUGGCGCGGUAAGGAACAGCGAAGCAUCCGCGGAGCAUUCGGUCCCUACCUUACUCCCUGGCGGGGCUGCCAGGUCACCUGUGCGCCCCCCGCCGCGUCUCAGCCGGCCCGCCUUUGUUCCUUCCGCACUCAGCACUCCGCCGCCGCCGCCGCCCCUUCGCCCGCGGCUGGCCACGGUGGCAGCUGGGAACCGGGCAGCCCAGCGAGCUGCCAGCUCGGCGUUUCCAGAGCGGCCGCCGCCAGAAGCUCCGACUGCCUUCCCCGAGAAUUCGCCGCGCUCCCGGGCGAGCCGCCUGGCCAGGCCUCACGCUGGAGCUGGAGGGCUGCCGCGGCCUGCUCCGCCAAUUCGCCUCCGCCUGGACUCCAUGCAGACCCUUCUCUUCGGCCAAAGAAUCUCUUUUGAACACGGAUAUUAUUCAGAAUAAAAACUUUAUUUUUUUUUUUGUUUUGUUUCUCAGAAUGUGAGCAGCAAGGAAUGUAGAACUCUCAAAACAAAUCUAGCAUUUUUUGCGUUUACACAUUUUUUUUCCCAGUUUCGCCGGAUGUUA